rnacentral:lncRNA from 1 species
GUAACUUUUGCUAUUUAAGAGCCCUGGCUUUUUUCAGUGGAGGACAAAUGUGUACUGCUAUAUCUCUUAUCAUGUUUUUUUUUUCUGCAGAGGGAAAUGUUGCAUGAAGAGAGGCCAUAUGCAACGACAUGUCAAUCUGCUACCUAUUUUUAAAUAUUCACAUAACCCCCACUUAUUGGAAAGAAAGAUGUCUAUUCUGAGAAAGUGACAGUUGAAUCAGUAACCUCUGCCUCUCACAAUUACAAGAAGCUGAUGAUCAGCUGGCGGAUGGGACUGUGCAGUUGGAAGUCCAGUGAUUUGUGAUUCCCCCAAGAAGUGUACAGACCAAAUGGCUCCACGUACAGGAAAAGUCUUGUAAAAAGAAAAACCUGGACCUGAAGCUGCAAGGCUGUAUGGUUUUGGGAGGAAAAGUCCCUGAGGUUUUGGAGAUGCUUCAAGCUUCCAUCUUCAGUGUGGAAACUGGUUGCUUGCCUCUGCAAAGCCCAGGCAGCAGCAGAAUCUUGAUCUAGGACACAACAUAAAUGCUUGAAUGCUAUCCUGUCGUGGAAUGAUGACAAACUUCAUGCAUACACUCCCAUGAACAUGAAGAUACUACAAGCAUGUAAGAGAACACUGGGGCUCUAAGGCCAUAAUCCUGGAAACUCCUACAUAGAGGUCCUGUAUACAGGAUUACUUUGUUUCCCUGUACCCUGUGUAUGUUGUGACACAAAGCUCAGUUGGGUGGUCCUAUGAUGGUGUGUGCUGUGGUAUCUCUGACUUGGGAACCUUGGGGCCUGUAGGAACUCCUGGAGCUGAAUGAGCUCCACUGGCAUGUUCUCUGCUCCUGGGUUGGACAGCAUCUGAUUUGCCUGUCGCAUCACCUGCAAGUCCUUCAUGUCUUAGUCUCCUGUCCAUCUUGGAAGAUGCAAUGAGAACGUGCAGCCUCCAGACACUGAGGAGAACCACACCAGAGCUGGAAAUUAAAAUGUCCACAGUGAAAACCAUCCACCUAUGCAAUUAGCUUUUUUUAAGAAAACUUGACUG